GAUGAACGCUCGCUACAGGCUUAACACAUGCAAGUCGCGGGGCAGCAUGGGGGUUGCUUGCAAUCCCCGAUGGCGACCGGCGCACGGGUGAGUAACGCGUAUUCAACCUGCCCUUCACCACGGGAUAACCCGGCGAAAGUCGGACUAAUACCGUAUGUUGUCCAUUGACGGCAUCCGAUUUGGACGAAAGGCUUGGCGGUGAGGGAUGGGGUUGCGUCCGAUUAGCCAGACGGCGGGGUAACGGCCCACCGUGGCUACGAUCGGUAGGGGUUCUGAGAGGAAGGUCCCCCACACUGGAACUGAGACACGGUCCAGACUCCUACGGGAGGCAGCAGUGAGGAAUAUUGGUCAGUGGGCGUAAGCCUGAACCAGCCAAGUAGCGUGCAGGAUGACGGCCCUAUGGGUUGUAAACUGCUUUUAUGCGGGGAUAAAGUGGCCCACGGGUGGGCUUUUGCAGGUACCGCAUGAAUAAGGACCGGCUAAUUCCGUG
rnacentral:rRNA from 1 species